AUAAACCGGUUCUCGUACGAUCACCGAAGUGAAGCAAUGUCGAGCCUGGCCAGUACCUAGAUGGAUGACCGCUUGAGAAUAUCAGGUGUGGUAAG